GAUGAACGCUGGCGGCGUGCCUAAUACAUGCAAGUCGAGCGAACGGACGAGAAGCUUGCUUCUCUGAUGUUAGCGGCGGACGGGUGAGUAACACGUGGAUAACCUACCUAUAAGACUGGGAUAACUUCGGGAAACCGGAGCUAAUACCGGAUGAUAUUUUGAACCGCAUGGUUCAAAAGUGAAAGACGGUCUUGCUGUCACUUAUAGAUGGAUCCGCGCUGCAUUAGCUAGUUGGUAAGGUAACGGCUUACCAAGGCAACGAUGCAUAGCCGACCUGAGAGGGUGAUCGGCCACACUGGAACUGAGACACGGUCCAGACUCCUACGGGAGGCAGCAGUAGGGAAUCUUCCGCAAUGGGCGAAAGCCUGACGGAGAAACGCCGCGUGAGUGAUGAAGGUCUUCGGAUCGUAAAACUCUGUUAUUAGGGAAGAACAUAUGUGUAAGUAACUGUGCACAUCUUGACGGUACCUAAUCAGAAAGCCACGGCUAACUACGUGC
rnacentral:rRNA from 1 species